GGCUUAUGGCCUUGAGCGUUCACAUGGGCUUUGUUUGAGUAAACUGGUUAUAGCAGCUGUUAGUUGAAAUCUCGUUGGAGAUCAAGAGAAUUACGUAGCUCGACAACGUUAUGGAAGACACCAGAAAUACUCGGGAAACGUGACCUGAUUUCGAGAAAGAAAAGUCAGAGGAGAAAAACCUUGCUGAUUUGGAGAAACGAGAGUCAGAGAAGGAUAAACAUGAUCUGAUCUGGAGGAAAAAAUAAUCAGUAUAGUGAGACCAGCAAUGUAAAAAAUAAGCAUAAAUAUUUAAUAAGACAAAAAUUAAUGUUAUCUGAAUCAAAUGUUUAGAUUUGUUAAUAUACACCACGAUUUUUUUUAUAUUCAGUUAAAAUGUAAUUUGUCAGAAUAAAUUCGUCAAGAAACCAGGGUAACCAUUGGAAAUACAACUCCA
rnacentral:lncRNA from 1 species